GACCAAAUGAUCCAAAUGGAUUCUUUAUAUCCCAGUUUCAUUCUCUUCAUCUCUAUCGUCACCUUCAAAACCCUAACGCCGCUACUCAUCAUCUUCAGCAAAUCCAAAAAUCUUCUUCAGCAAAUCGACAAAUGCCAAUUAGGGUUUUUCACCCGAUUAGGGUUUUUCCACAUAAACUGGAUCCAUAUGCGGUACUGUGACGCUUCCACAUUCCACAUCAUCUUCAUCUUCUUCUGGUUUCUUCCCCUCUGUAUUCUCCAGCUUAUUCAGGAAUCAAUUUAAUAGUUUUCCUCAACAAAUCCUUAAUAAGAUUACUUUCUGCCGCCUAAUUAUCCAGCCACUGAUUUCAGAUAUGCGUGGAGUAUUUGAUUGAAGGUUCAUAUCUUGAAGUUGGUAAAAGUCUCAACAAUUGGGAUGUCUUUUCUCUUUUAUAUAUUUAAUUUAGGUUUUAUUUAUCCAUUUUUAUGUCAAUUUGUGUAUUUUCGUGUUUGUUUUUAAUGUGCAGACAACAUUUGAAAUGGUGACAAUGGAUUUGUAGCUGCUAACCAGUAUCACCAAAUAUCUGGAAUCUAUCUUUUUUAUUAAUUUUUCUCUAAUCUAUAUAAAAAUGUUACUUUCAGUUCUGAAAAACUAUUUGAAUCUGAUUAACCAACAGUUAGAGACAUUUUUUUCUCUAUAUCAUGGUCAAUAAUUAUUCUAGGUUCGAUAUGCAACUUAAAAAUGUUAAAAAAAUACCGAAUAUAUAUGUUUGUUUAUCAAAAUCUUGCAUUUUUUGUUCUUUCUGACUUUAUCGGAUGUUCCCCGUUUUUAUGUGGGCCAUAUGGAUCACCUGUGGGAUACUAAUUCGGUUGUAGAUGCAAUGGAUUGUGCCUUGGAGCUGAUUAAAAGUUAGAGAAAACUUUCAUUUUGACAUGGAAAACAGUGAAUUACGCUACGCCUCAGCAGCAGCAGGAAUCCGAGAGGGUAUAUAUUUGUCGAAUAUUUUGAGGAAUGUGAAGUUUUGAUACUCUCUUAACAUGAUCGCAAAGGUAUGCAUGCUUUUCGAUCCAUUUCUCAACGCUUACGGUUGUAAAAAUGGUAUUCAGUUAGUAUAAUAUGAGAUUAUAGUAAAUUGGUUAGUACCAUAUGGUUGAAAUGACGAACAAAGUCUUUAAUUAGUUUUUAGGGUUACAGACGCAUCUAAAUAUUUGUAUUUGUGAUUAUUAUGUAAGUGGACAUAUGUAUGAGUUAUAGUUCUUAUCUUUGAUUUUUGAAUUGACUUUAAUGAGUGUCGUCUGAUUCUGAAAGUUUACAUAUAGAUUGGAGCUAAAAUUUAUAAACAUUUUAAAUGGAACUAUUGAAGAUUUCAAAUAUCUUUGUUUUUCUGGUAAUUGAUGGGUCGGUGGCUUAGAACGUGAUUUGUGGUACGCUGUGAUGGAUUAUGAUGAUGAUGAAAAUGAUUGUGAUGAUGCUGAAGGUGAGAGUAUGUGCUUUUUAACUGUGAAUAAAUUUGUAAUUCAUUGUUUAUUUGAUUAUUUUUGUUUCAUCAUCAGAUAACUGAGGUUCAAUCGAAAAGCUCUAUUGUCGGUUAAUCUCUAUGGCCUAUUCAACGUCAUUCAUGCUCAUCGUCUACAGGUUCAAAUCCAAACGAUGAUCGUUUUUAGUCUCUUCACCCCUAGAGGUGUACAAAUCAUGUUUUUUGGAAAAACCGGUCUGGUUAAAACCUAACUGAUAAUUUUAUUGUAAAAAGAAAACCGGUUUUUAGUAAUCGGAUCUGGUUACAAACCAGUUUUUUUUAACCUGAAACACAAACCAGUCCUAACCGAUUCAGUCCGGUUCUAAAACUGUUUCUUCAGAACCAAUUUGCCACCUGUAAGUUUUUUUUAUGAACCGAAAAAUCUACCUCUUUGACCCGUUGUAUUUAUUACACAUUUGACCCAUUAUCUGGUAAUAUUUGUUCAUUGAAUAUAUUAUAGUUUUUUAAGAAGAGACGUGUAAGUGCGUAUUAUAUGUUUUGAAUAUAUUAUAGAUUUUUAAGAAGAGACAUGUAAGUGCAUGUGCCAAUUUCUAUAGGUACUUUGGUGUUUCUAUGUCAAGGGUGUAUUAGAUGUAAUUCGAACUUUGUGGCCAGCCUCCCGUUGGUCGCUUUUUAUUAUUUAUUUAAAAAUUUUUGUUAUUCAAAUUUUAUAUGAUACACAAUAAUUGGAAUUUAAGUUGAUAUAUCAUGAAGUGGUUAUUAGUGCUGAUAUAUUCUUUUUCCAUUAACUUCUUUAUAAAAAAUAUAUACCCUAUGUGUUAUUGGCUUGGUUGCUGGAGAGGUGGCCUUCAAGGAUGAAGGAGGAAUCACUGUUGUUCAUUUAAGUCGCGUAUUCAGAAGAUAUUGUUGAUGUCAUGGAUGUACCGACUCCUUUUGGCACUGCAUUAUGUAUGGCAGCUGCCAUAAAGACAGACCAUGAAGCCAAGUGUCUAUUUAAUUUCGUUGCAGGUGGUAGGGAACUGGUGCAGAUACUGCUUGCUGCUGGAGUUGAUGCUACAUUUGCAAGACACCCAGCAUGGGCGGAUAGCUUUGCAUACUGAUGCAAUGACCAAACAGCGUUGGUUAAGAUCAUUCUUGAUGCUGGAGUUGAUGUGAACAUAAGAAAUGUGCAAAAACACAAUACCUCUACAUGUGGCAUUGGCAAGAGGAUCCAAUCAUGUGUUGGAAUGUGCAGAAACAAAUUGUAAUAUGCAGCAUCCUAUGAUUCCACCAUUCCAGUUCCUUAUCCAACAAUAUUCCCCGCCAUAAGUUUAUGUUCAUUUUGGCACACCUGUGGUAGUCCGCCAGAAGGUAGCAUCAAGUUUAAGAAAUGACAGUACCACUACUCAAAGGUGUUUCUUGGUCAAUGAAUUUGAUAGGCCUCUUUUUUACCACAUGACAUGGAUGUUAGGCAAAAGAGAAGGGUUGGCUGGAAGUGAUGGAAACAUAACAUAUGAUUUGAAGUCUUAUGGAUCAUGUUGUGGAAUAUGUGCUUUUGUAUCGGUGAUUAGUUCCAAAAGUGGUCAUACUGGUAGCGUUACAUAAUUUUAUUUAAGGUUGACGAAGAACCCAAGCUGCUUGGCAUGGUUAUUAUUAUUUUUUAGUUAGCAAAUUUUGGAUGCGUUUUAUGUUUUGUUGGAAACUUUAAAUGUUAUUAGCUAAAAAUAUAUUAUUUUAAUCA